UUCUACAUUUUUAGGAACAGCUUCAGCAUAGAUUAAACACUUAAUUUAAUAUAUUUGAGCUUCAGCAAGCACGACUGAAAUGAAUUCUUCAAAUUAUGUUUUUCAAUUUCAUUUCAUGAAAUUAAAUACGAAACUACUACAACGCUUCAACCACAAAAAUGGCGGUCGAGAUAAGAAAACGUUUUGAAAUUUCGGAGUUAAUUGAAGGCAUUUUCCACAUAAAGGAAAUAGUAAAAUGUUCAAGAUGACUGGAUGCUGAUGAAAGGUAUUUUAUGACAA